CAUGGGUGCCAUUUCUCUGU
rnacentral:piRNA from 1 species